rnacentral:lncRNA from 1 species
CUUGGAUAUGAAAGUCUAUACCGUCUAAGACAGCAUCGCCUAAUGGACGAUUUUCUGAUUCACCGCCAAGGAAAUUAUUAUAGAGAUAGGACGCGACUUCCUUAGCAUCAUCGCGUGAAGAAAGGUUUGGAGCUCCGCCGAGAGAAAGAAGCACUUGGAUGCCUCGUUUCUGGCAAGCUUUUAUCUCAGAACUAAGCGAGGAGCAAGCGCUUCGCUCACAAUGCCCAGCUAAGUUCAAUUCUGGUGUCUGGCCAUUGCCAUAAUUUAUCAGAAAGGCAAGAUUCACGUAGUCAUAGGUACCCCUCCGGCAUGCGUCUUCCAGGCUUCCUUCGUCAGUGUUUUGGCCCCAGUAGGUGGCAAUUCCAGCAGCAUCGGAAGACCUGAUCGCUGAAGAUAUCAUCAACAGCAAUGUUAUUGCUAUGACUAGUGCUCUAAAACAGGGAGCCAUUUUUUCUUCUCUCGGUUGUUUUUGCAGGCUUGCUUUCGUGUGUAUUUUUUGGUUUGGUGUGUAUUUGGUUGCCCACAGAUCGACCCCUUUUAUAGAUGAGUUCAGCUACCUGUGUGGCGAAUUGAAGACGUGCCAAAUACUGGCCAUCCCCCUGGAGGUACGUGUAAUAUGUGCGUUAUCAAUGAUAGUUGAUAGUUUACCCAAAGAAAAGUAUUAUUCGUUGCUCAAGUGUCCCGUCGAUACAUCAUUGACAGCAUCAGUAAAUUUCUUCACUCAUCAUUUCAACUAUAGCACAAAUAUCUUUCUUUUUCUUGGUUCUUGGAGAACUUACAAGUGCCAUAAUCUUAUAAAUGGGUAUUGAAAAUGUUUAAAUAAAAACUAAUAGUAUAAAACUCAGUUUUGACUGUUCGAGCGAGCUGAUUGAACUGUUGAUCGAGUAGCUUUCUGAACUAAACCAAGUGUCAAACUAAGAUGGAUCAAAAAAUCGGUCUAGAUAGUAAAAACCAACUAGAUCGUUUGGUCGGACCAACGAACCGUCGACAUGUUUUUACUAAACGGUUUUGAGUCUUGCUUUUCUUUAAAAAAAAAAAAAUGCGGCCCCACAUUAGCAUAUAAUAAUUAUCGGAAACGAUUAACGCACUAUACUUUUUGACAUUUUACUAUUUAGCCCUCAUACUUACUUUUAGAUUUCAAUGUUACCUCAUAUUUAAGUUUCUAUCAUUUCACCUUUAAAAAAUUAUAAUUUAGCUCUAAAUUGUUUACAAAAUCCAAAAUUUCUUACUAUUCGUAUUCCUAUCCACUUAACAAUUGUUAGAAUUAAACAAUGGUUACAUCCCAUUUGUAGUUAAAUAAAUUAUUCGAUCCAUAUUCAUUUUUACUCUAAAAAGUAUGAUUUAAUCCAAACCAUAUUCAUUUUUUUAAAACAAAAAUGGAAUUUGACCCCAUCCAUAUUAAUUUUUAUCACUAAAAAAGUGGUAUUUGACAUUUUUUUUUACAUAAAAAAUGAUUGCAUAUAGGUCACAUGGCGAUCUUUGGCUAAAAAGUAGUCAAAAAUUUAGAUUGCGACCAAAUUUUGCUAACUUGAAUUUGUAAGAGAUGUAAAAUUAAUAUUUUAAAAGUGAAGGAACAAAAAAAUCAUUUAGUGAAAUGUAAGGGACGUAUUGAACGAUUUUUCACAUUAAUUAUUUAUGAUAUAUAUGGUGUCAGAGAUUAAAAAUGACUUGGUAACAUUUAGUCUAACGAUUGAACCAAUAACCUAUGACCCAGUAAGAUUUCCAGCUUUAAAACCUUCUUAAAAACUUGAUUUUCGGAACCACUCAUGGACGAUGGGGUGCAUACUCAAGAGCCCCAUAUAUCAUCAUAAUAAUGUAAUAUUACUUACAUCAUCAUGUGUCACUAAAUGAUAGUGUGCCAAGUUGAGAUAUAGUUUGUGUCAAUUCUCCUUUCAUUUUAGUAUAUUUUGUGUUUUAGUGAUGUCAUAAGAAUUUGGGAUGACAGAGGACUAAAAAGAGUUGCUGAAAAGUCUAUUUGCUAUAAAGUAUGGCGCGUCUUAAAGAGCCUAGGAAAUUGAGAAGUUGUGGGACCUGAGAUUAAUUUCAACAAUUAAAGAGAAUAAUUGAUUGAUUUCUCUGCAGCCUUGAAAACUUUAUUUUUGGAUGGCAACUAGUUAGUAAGGAUAUUAUUAUAUCAUUAUCCACGAAAAUAGAUUAUUCCAGUAUGGAAGAUAAUUCCUUUUAUUGGAAUAAUUUUUAGCAGAUAAUCAUAUAGAUUGUUAGGGUGAGAAUAUCGAUAUUUAAUUCCCAACUCUCUCUACACUUUGUCAUCGUAGUUAGGUGGUUUUUCCUUUUUCUUCUCUCAAGACAAAAACCUAGUUUUCUCCGCUGCAUUUUCUCCAUAAGAAGUGGCUAAAUUUUCUUUCUAGUUAGAGGAUAAUCCAAGACUUGGUUCUACAAACAAUUAUGAUAUCUAAUUGAAGUUUAGUGUUUCAUCUAUUCGUGGGUAUUUUUAUACUUCCUGUAUUACAUGUAUGAUGAUUAUUGUGUGUAAUUAAAUAAGUGGCCAAUAUUUAAUUAUUUACAAUAGUCUGCUACCAAUUGAAGCAAUUAAAUUCGUAAUUGUUUGUCUGUUUUAAUAUUUGUGUAGACUGACAUAAUUGGAUCUAUAUCAGGAAAAAUAUAUGAUAUAAUUUAAAUGAUCUCUCGCAACAUGUUUGUUGAUUAGAAUUAGGCUUUUUUAAUUCUUGAUGCUGUUAAAAAAUUUAAUUCUAUGGUUGUACCUAGAAUUAUCUUUUAGUUAGAGAAGUAGUUAGUGGCCAUACUCUGAUUAUCGAUAAAGUAAGGAAAUAUUGAUUGCCAAAGUUUAAUGAUAAUUAUAACCUAUUUGUUCACUAAUAUUUGAAUUCAUCUUUGCUUUAGUGAUCAAUUGUAGGAACCAAUCCUAAGAUUAUUCCUUUGGCUAGAACUCUAUUAUUAUUGGUUUAUUCUUAGUUAAUUUUCUUUGCAUGUUUAUUUGUGUUUAAAUUAAUUAGUUAGUAUAAUUCUCCAAAAUCCCCCUUUUUAUUCAUUGCUUUGGAAGAAAAUAAAUCAACUCUAUCUUGUGGAGACAAUCCUACUCAUUGCUGCAUACAAAUUCGUAUUUUCUAGAGCAGUUAUUUAUUUUUAAUUAGUUGACACCCUGUCACUGAAUCAACAUGGCUUUUAAGGAAGAAAGAGAAGGAUUUAUCUAUUAGAGGAUGAAUGGCACUUUGUCCGAACCAUGGGGUUCAUCCCAUUUUACCUCUUGAACCAAAACAAUACACACUUCAUUUUCUUUGUGCUAAAUUUUUUUUUAUCUUAUUAAAUCAAUUACAACCAGUGUUACAAUUUCAUACUUAGCUCAUAGGUAUAUGGUUUAGAAUAUUGAUGAUUAAGGAGCAAAUUGAACUUUUUAUAUAUAGUGUUUGUAAAGAGAAAGCCAUUCUUUAUUUAUUGAGUUAUACACUUUACUUUGCAUCUUUGCUUGUGCAUAUGUUGGCUGGCCGAGGAUUGACCAUUUUAUUUUAUAGAUAGAUGAAUUCUGUCUAAAGUAGAGGAUAUAUUGUACCCAAUAGUACGGCAAAGGUUCCUCUUUCAUAACAUCUCUUGUUGCAUUAUCUAUCUGAUUAAUACAUGUUUUCUGUAGUAAUAAAUAAAAAUUCAAGUUUUAAAAUAGGAAUAAUUUCAGAAACUCCUCCUGAGAUUUCUAACUAUUUCACUUAGUUUUCUUGAAGUUUUUAAAAUAACAUUUACCUCCCUUGAUUUGACACUUUGGUAACCAAAUCUUAAAAUAAGCUAAAAAAUUUAAUGAAUACCCUGAAAUGCCCUUAUCUUAUAUAGUUCAAUUCAUUCUUCUAAACAAUUGUAAAGUAAUUUGACAUAAUUAUAUAUAUUAAAAAAGAGUCUCAAAUUUUUCAUGUCAAUAUUUGUUAUUUAAUAAUCAACUGUAACAAUAAAUCUUUACUGUGCUAAGUUAUUUUUUAUAGUGUUUUAUUGGGAAUAUAGAUUCUUUUUAAGAUAGAGAAGAAAGUGUUACCUUGUGUUUUAUAAAUUUAUGGACUAUUGUUUUAGCAAAAGUUUAUGGACUAGUUUAGCGAUGGAACUACCAUAGUUUGGUAGUGAUUUUGGGCCAUUUGUUUUUAAUUAUUGUUGAUUUAUUCUUGAUUUUGAUACAAAAAAAAAAGAGUAACAAAAUAAUUGGAUGAUAUUAAAAGUCAUCAACAAAAUUACUAGUUUAACGUUUGAUCUAGAUAGAUAUUAGCGACAAUAUUGAUAGGUCUUCUAUACUUCUAAUGAAAUAUAAGAGAAAUGAAUAAGAAGGAAAAAGGAAAAAAAUUAUAAAAUCCAUUCUUUGUAUAAACAUGGAAGCAAGAGAGUUUUAUUAAAAUAUUAAAGUUAGUAUUGUCAUUUUAAAUGGGCAAGGGAGUUAGAUAUAAUUUUUGAAACUUUAAGGGAGCCACAUAAAAUUAUCAAAAACCUCAGGGAGGUUUAUGAAAUUAUCCCUUUAAAAUAUUUUUCUUAAUACAACAGUUGCCCUUUAACAAGUUGUAUAAUAUAAAAUAAAAUAGAAAUAGGGUUAAUUGUAAGUUGCACCCCUCAACAAUUUGGCAAUUGGAACUUGCAUUCCAAACUUUAAAUUUAGCAGUCUAUUACCUUCAACUUCUAAUUUUUUGCACAAUUUACAAAUUAAGUUAAAUCUGAUAAAAAAAGAGAGGGUGAUUAUACUUGUUUACCCUCAAAUUUUUACCAAACCUCCAAAAAUACCCUUCCUUUAUUUUCAUCUUCUGAAUAAACUCAAAUUCCUAAACCCUACAAAUAUUCCUCAAAACAAAAUCCCUUUGAAAAAGCAUAAAUUAAUAUCUAAAAAUUCAUCAAACAGAAAUAGAAAUCAAGUCAUAAUCCAUACCCAAAUCUCACAUUAUCAACACCAACCUCUUGAUCAUCCCAUCACCACUAUCAUUAUCCCCCACUAUCACCAUAACUUCUUAAAACUCAUUAAAAAAAAAGUAAUAACAAACAAAGAAAUGAAGGAGAAUAAGAUCUUUGGGAGGCAAGAAAACAAACAAAAAAAAUUCCCAAAUCCAAAUCUCGCCAGAAUAACCUCUUAACUUCUAACGUCUAAGACCCACAAAUUGAUCAGUGUGACUCACAAAUUGAUUACGAGCUCGAGCUCUACAGAUAAACCUAUUUUAUGCAGUGCAUGAUAAGCUGUUAUUUAAUUUCUAAGGUCCUUCUACGCUGACAGUUAGCAAGGUUGGAUUGAUUACGUAAAUUGCCCAAGAAAUCUGACAAAUGGUUGUGUAGAUAAUUAAACCAAGCCUAAUUAUUAAAUUAAAUUACUUAUGUGGCAAGUUUUUUUAUUUGUUGGUUUAGUGAGUGGAAGAAUUUCAAAGUUGAUACAGAAAAGAAAUAUUUCCUAAGGUCCCCGUUAUUAAAGUUCAGCAAGAUAUUUACAUUUAUCAUGUUGGGAGAGAGAUACUCCUAGUCGGUUCAGAAUUGAAAAUUUUUCUGCCAACUGUUAGUUUCCUAUUCCUUUGAGACCCCUGUUUGGCACUUAAGUUUUUUGCCAAGUUUAUCUGCUACAAGUUUUUAAAAAUUUUAACUACAGUAAUCUCAAAAAUUUCUCAAAAUUUUUAAAUUAUACACUUCAAAAUAUUAAAAAAACACACUUCAAAAAUUUUUUUAAAAACUUUUAUAAUAAACUACAGCAAAGUUUUAGACAAAUACCCAAAAAACUCACUUGCCAAACGGGGUCCUAGUCGGUUGGAUACUCUAUACCGUUUCAUUAUUUUCUUGAAGAGAGAGGUAAGUUGUGGAUAUUGAGAGAAAACUUCUAAACUUGUUAUUUGUGAGCAUUAUUGUUGAGUUUAGUUAAUAAAAUUAUUAAGUUAUAUUGUGUAUUUAUUCUCUUUCUCUUUCACAUAUAUUCAUAUAUUUUAAAAUAAUUUUUGCUGAGCAUGAUUUUUUUUUGUGGCAAUAGAUUGGAAUAUGUAAUCAAAUUUGAGGAUGAAUAGGGCCUCAAUCAACCUUCACCCUUCAUUCAUGUUUAUCUUAUACUUGAACAUCCUAGGUUGAACUUUUCUCUAGGCCACAAAAUUGUUUAUGCAAAUUUGAUGAGUAAAAGUUUACAUGUACUUCCUUGGGGGAGCACAAUUUUCGAGUAAAGAUAUUGAAUACGGAUUUGAUGUAUGGAUUUAUCAACAAUCUUUUCUUCUUUUAAUAGUGACGUUGAUUGACACUAACAUUAUUAUUGGACACCCCAAAGGUGACAUUCUUGCCUUGUUUCCAUAGAAUUUUCCAGGCCACCCUAAAUCAUUGUCCUGCCACAGAAUUCUGGGACCAGUCCUUCCUGUGCAUGAAUUGAAGUGGACGCACUAAAAUCACUUAAAAUGGACGGACUAAAACGAAAGUCACUUUAAAGACGCACUACAAUGAAAAGUUACAGUUUGAAUUGUAAGUUUACAGAGUUUGGUUAAAAAAUAUAUUAUGAUAAAGUGAUGCAUGUGAGAUAAAAAAUUGAUUGGUAAAUGUAUCAAAAAAAUAUUUCAAAAUAUCUAAGUGAAAACUGGCAAUCCAAAUAAUGCCAAUCUUGUCGGCUAUAGUAGUAUUUUGUGUGACCAACUUCUCUCUGCAGUUUUCCUGGUUUCAAAUAACACUACUGAGAGCCCAUUGUCAGGUUUGAACAUUUCCAAAUAGAAGCUCUAAAUAAAUCACUCAAAAGGAGUACAAUAGGAAAGCAAAGGAUAGGCUGUGUCCAAAAGACUGAACUUCUUUGGAUUGCAUUUUUCUGAAUUUUUUGUAGAAAAAUUACUAUAGCGAUUUGAUAUAUAUGAGGUAAAAAGAUAAAUGGAAAAUGUGUUUACGGAAAACGUAACAAUUUUGCUUUGGAAAAUUGCUGUCCAAACAAGGCUUAUUUCUUUUUUUUUUGGGUAGGUUAAAUCUGUUCCAAAGCCACAAAAUAUAAGUUACAAUCACUACAAUAAAUCUGAAGUGAAAAUUUUCUUGUAAGGACCCAAAUAAAUUAACUGGUUGUACAUGUUUCGCGAGAUCAAGAAGUUUCACUACAUAGGAUAAGAUUAGGCAUCACAAUCCAGCUGCAGUCUUAUAUGUCUUUUACAUCUUUAAUUUUGACAAUCCACUUGCGAUGGUUACUGAUUUCGCAAUCACUAUCUCAAGAUACCAUCCUAUGAAGCACUUCCUGUUUAUUUCUAUUUGUAACUGAAGAUAAUUCCCAUGGAACUCGCCAGUAAUAAUCCGUCACCAACAGAUGUUUGUGUAAGUGGAAGGGGCUUGCAUCCCUUAAUCAUGAGAUCUCGGGUUCGAAACCAUGGGGAUGGAAUAAAAAACGUUGGGAGAGCUUCCCCCUGCAAAGGAUCCGACGCGGCUCAAACGAGAUUAGUCGCAGACCGUAAAACGGAUGCGAACACCUGUGGGUUAAUACCAAAAAAAAAAAAAAUAAUCCAUCAUGAUCAACUGAAAGAAAACAAAAACACCUACAGAUCAAUUGCAAGUGCAAACACUCCAAUUCAAUCCUAAAUUUUCCUUCCCCUUUCUUCAACCUUUCAAUAUCCAGUUACACCAAAGAAAACAAAACAGUGAACAACACUCCAUGGGGAUGUAUUUAGUUUAGGCAUUUUUCCAUCAUGCUUACAUGCUAUGAUCGUAGGGCAGUUUCCUUUUUCCUUUAAUCAAAUUUGAUGUUGAAUCAAUACAAAAUUCACCACAAUUCAGACUUCCUCAGGUAAACAGAAUAUGUGAUUAAAAAAUUGCAUACGAAUGAUCUAAGGGACAACAAAUUCAAGGAGACUAAUAAUAUGAAAGAUCCAAACAUCCAUAGGUUGCGCAUGUUAAUUCACACAAAUUUCAAGGUAUUAAAAAAAAAAGAAAAUUUGCAAAAGAGGGCUUACUUCGGUGGUGGCACAGUGAACUGCAAGAUUGGGCUACAUGAUGAAAUCUAAUGAAAAAAAUUUGUUCCAAAGACAGUAAAUUUGAUGAUCGAAUGGUUGACGAUGGCUGCUGUAAAGAUGACGAUGGUGAUUUUGCGGGAUUCCUAGUGAGACUUUUUGUAGUUUUUCUAUUUCUUGUGUUAGAUUUUUUUUUGUUUUUUCAAAUUUGAUUUCCAGAUUUGAAAAUUUUUAAAUUUGUCACGUCAGAUUUCACCUUACCAUCCAGGUUUAAAUCAAUUCAUUAGCAUAUUUGGAAAGAAAUAAACCGUACAACUGGAAGCACGCAUAGAUAAUCUUGAUAAUAAAUGUUUUAUCAUUUGAUUUUUGUGAGUUCCACUGCAUAAUAUUCUAUUAAUUUUUCAGAUCUAUAUAUAUUUGUUUGGACAGAAUAUUAUUUGAAAUAAUUAUUGUAGUACUUUUUAUGAUGUGAUGUAUAUGAGAUAAAAAGGUGAUUGGGAAUAUAAAAAGGUGGGUUGGAAAAUGUGUUUAUAAUGCAAGCGAAAUAUUAUUUGAGAUAUUUCUACUGUCCAAACACUAGCCUAAGUAGAUCUGUUUGUAUCCGUAUAUUAUUUAUAUAGUUUCUGCCACUAGUAUAGAUUUAAUAAAAUAAUAACAUUUUUAUCAAAAAAAACAAAAGAAGAAUACAGGAUUAAGCCCGUGCAAAUGUGCCGAAGUUGAGUGCUUGUGUAUUCAUUAGUUAGUGGGCAAGCAAACUGAGCAAAAGGUCAUGGACAAGGUGCUCAAGAAAAAAGUUUGUUCAUUAAAGUAUGAGACUAUCAAUGAACAGGUAUGCUGAAAUGAAAGAGACUUUGAAAACUCAUCUUCACCACAAUUUCAAUGUCAUCCAGCCUGCGAUCCAGCUUAGAUGCUUCGCGUUGAAUGUUUAUUGCAUGUUUAAAAUCCCCAUUUCACCGAAAUCCAAUCUGAUAAUUUCACACUCUCAUUUCUUAAUGAGUUUGAAAUUUGCAUUAAUUAAAGAUUGUUUGUUCGUGUGUCAAUCACUAGUCUUUGUUUUUUUUGCCUUUGGGCCAUGAAGUAAAUUGACAGCGCUAAGUUAAAAAGAAUAUUAAGAAAAGAAUUGUAGAGACAGAAAAAAAAUACAACCUAUUGUUGGCCAAAGUUGAGUUCAUGUAAGUUUCCAUUUUGACAAGUUUUCUAUUAAUAUGAUUUUUCAACAUUUUUAUUCCUUAAACAACUUAAAAUAUUGCCUCUUAUAUUAGUUUUCUUUUUUGAAAUUUAUAGCUGCAAACCAACAUGGCUUUUAAUUGGGAGAAGGAUUUAUCUAUGUGUAAAUCUUAUAUACACUGACAGUAUAUACACUAUCAUCAUUGGAUUCAUCAUAUGUGCAUAAAAAUUAAAUUUUAAAUUCAAAUUUACAUAAUUAUCAUUCAUCCAAUACUAACAGUAUGUAUACUGUCAGUUUUGACAAGUUAAAAAAAAAUAUUAAGAAAAGAAUUGUAGAAACAAAAAAAAAUAUUGCCAUUUUGACAAGUUUUCUAUUAACAUGCUUUUUCAACAUUUUUAUUCCUUAAAUAACUUAAAAUAUUGCCUCUUAAAUUAGUUUUCUUUUUUCAAAUUGAUAGUUGCAAACCAAUGUGGCUUUUAACUGAGAGAAGGAUUUAUCUAAGAGGCGACGAAUGGCACUUUGCCUCUCUGAGCCAUGGAGUUGAUCCCACCAUACCCGCUUCGGACUAUGGGUCGAAUAGUACGGCAAAGAUUCCCUUUUUUUUUAACAAUUUUUGCUGUUAAAAUCUUAUCAUGCUAUCUAUUCGAUUGAUAGGUAUUCCAGUGGCAGAGCCACAUAGGAUUGUGGAGUAGACAAUUGCCUUCCCUCCCCAGCCCCCUCAAUUUUGAUAAAAUUGUACAAUGGCCUUCAAAUUUUUCAAGAUUUUUAAGUUUAUACCAUGUUUGCACCCCUGAAUUUUAUAAAAUUCUCUCUUUCAGUUGUGUUGCCCCAGUCAAAUUUAAGAAAAUUCCCUUCUUUAUAUAUAGGUUAUCUUUUAAAGUUUUAUAUAUUCCUCACUUAUUCUACAUUUACUCCACACACACAAAAAAAAAAAAAAACUUUCUAUUGAUUGCCUCUAACAAAAAUUUAGGAUUUAUUUCAAAUUAAACAAUAAUGGGAAAAAAGAUUUCACUUUUUAAAUCAAAAGCACACUGUAUAUUUAGGAUUAAUCUUUUCUAUACUGACAGUGUAUACAUUAUCAGCGAUGGAUGAAUGGCAAACAUAUAAAUUUUGAAUUUAAAAUUCAACUUUUACACAUAUGUCAUAGAUCCAAUGGUGAUAGUGUAUACACUGUCAAUGUAUAUAAGAUUUACUCGUAUAUUUAUUAUAUAAAUCUAAGAGUAUGAUUUAUACUGAAAUUGCCCAUUGCACCCCUUGUCAUAAGGUUCUGGCUCCACCACUGACAUAUCCGAUGCAAUAAUGACUAAAAAUCCAAAUUUCAGAAUGUAUCCCUUUUUUGUUUUUUUUUUCGGACAGGAUAGAAUGUCUCUCUCGAUGAGUCAUAAAAUUCGGGUAACAUAUAGAAACGCGAAACACAACACCUCAAGGCGCGAAUGGUCCUGACGCUCACUCUUCACACAAACUAUGCAGUUCUAAUAAUAAUAGCUAUCGUUUGGCAUGUAACGCAGUAAAAAGAAUAUUCCUUUCAGAUAAAUGCCCAGCAACUUAAAUGCAAACAGCCGAGUAGGGCUGCAAACGAAUCGAGCCGCUCGCGAGCAGCUCGAGUCAAGCUCGAGUCGAGCUCGAGCCAGCUCGAGUCAAACUCGAGCUCGAACUCGAGCUCAGAAUAUUAAGCUCGUUAGCUCGCGAGCCGGCUCGCGAGCUUGAGUAAAUAUAUAUUUUUUUAUUUUUAUUUUUAUUUAAUAAUAAAAUUACGUAUAUUAUAUAUAUAUAUAUAUUUUAUUUUUUUAUUUUCAUAAUGAAAUUACGUAUAUAUCCUUAAUAUUUUAUUAUUUAUUCAUAAAAAAUAUUAUUUUAUUUAUUUUUUAAAAAAAUAAAAUAAUUUUUUUUUAUUUUUUUUGAGCUCGAGCUCGGCUCGACUUGAUUCGAGUCGAGCUCGAGCUCGAAAAUUGCCAGCUCGUCGAGCUCGAGCUCGAGUUUGGUAAAAUUUAGUCGAGACUCGGCUCGAUUAGCUCAAAACUCGACUCGACUCGGCUCGUUUGCAGCCCUACAGCCGAGUACGAUAAUGAGAAAUGGGUCCCUUUUAAUGCGCAAUAAUGGAUGGGGCAAUUAUUGUACUGACCUAACCUGUCCUUAGGUAUGAAAGUCACUAAUUUCUAAACUCGCGGCUCCAAGUCUCCACGUCGAUACAGAAUGGACAAUUAAAAACAGUACAUCUUUUCUACUCAUCCUCCCAACCAUGCGCCUGUUAUCUUCCCAUAUUUCGUUCUUGGCGUAUCUUUACCUAAUCUGAAUGGGUUUGAAAGAUAUUUUUGGACUCUAUAGCCACCUCAAUUUUUUUUUAUAACCUAAUGCUAAUAAUAUACUUCUUCUGUCUCAUUAAAAUCGCUGUAAUUUUUAUUUUAGAAUGUUCCAAAAUAAUUGUCAUGUAAAAAAAGUCAAAACACCUUUUAAUUUCUCUUUUGAAUAUAGCCUUUCUUUUUAAUUAUAUUCAUGUUACCAUUCAAAUUUAAAAUUUUGAAUUUGUGAGGAUAAUAUUUAAAAAAAAGUACAAAUAUCACAAUCAAAUCACUAUUUUUAAAAGUUAGAUUUGUUAAACAUGACUAAAUAAAUGUGACGAAAAAGUAAACAUACAUCACUUAAUCAAUGCGACUCAACAAUUCAUUACAAGGUCUACAGAUUAAACUUCUGUAUUUUGUAGUGCAUAUGAUAAGCUGUUAAUUAAUUUCCAAGCGCUGUCCUUCAAGGCUGACAAUUAGCAAGGUUGGAUUGAUUAUGUAAUUGCCCAAGAAAGAUGACCAAUGGUUGUGUAGAUAAUUAACCCAAGACUAAUUAUUAAAUUAAAUUAGCUAUGUGGCAACCUUUUUUUUUUUCGUUGGUCUCUAGUGAGUUGAAAAUUUUAGAAGUUGAUGCGGCAAAGAAAUAUUUCCUAAUGUCUGGUUAUUAAAGUUUAGCAAGUUUGCAUUUAUCAUGUUGGGAGAGGGGUACUCCUCGUCGGUUCAGAAUUGCAAUAUAUAUAUAUAUAUAUAUAUAUAACUGUCCAUUGCCGUAUUCCUUUGUGACUAGAGUCCGUUGGAUGCUCUAUAAAUUGAGUAGUACCAUUUCAUUGUUUUCUUGAAGAGAGAGUUAAGUUGUGGAUAACGAGAGAAAGCUUCUAAACUUGUUAUUUGUGAGUAUUAUUGUUGAGUUUAGUUUAUAAAAUUAUUUCAGUUAUAUUGUAUAUUUAUUCUCUUUCUCUUUUCACAUAUUUUUAUAUAUUUUAAAAUAAUAUUCCCUGUCCUUGAUUUUUUUGUGGCAACAGAUUAGAAAAUGUAAAUCAAAAUUGAUAUGAAUAGGUUUAAAUUAGAGGUGUCAAAAUGGGUGAUUUGGACGAGCUUGAAUUGGAUAAAAUGGGUAAUGUGUAUAAGUGAGUCAACCUAUUUAUGUCCAUUUAAUUAGAUGGGUAUAAAUGGAUAAGUCAAAAAAUAAAUUGGGUUACCCAAUUACCCAUUUAUAACCCAUCUAUUUUAACAUUUUGUAAAUUCAUUUGAAUUCAUUUUUGCAAACUAAGUUAUCAAUUUAUACCAUUCUUUGCACCCAUCAUUAGUUUUAAAUAUUUACUUAUAAUGUUUAAUAAGCCUAAUUAUCAAUUUUUUUUCAUCCGUACUCUAUGUCGCAAAAUUACAUAUUAUUUCAUAACUAAACAAUAAGAAUAUAAAAAUUUGAACUAAGUACCAUAAAAAUUAACAUAAAAAUUUAAUCCAAAAAUUUUGAACCCCUAGCAUUUUUUUGUGGGUAAAUUUAAAAUUUUAUUUUGGAAAAAUAAGAAAAGAAGCUAAAACUUGUCAUAAAUUGGUAAUGUUGAAAAAUGAGCAAGUUAAUAAAUUAAAAGAAAAUAAAAUGAUAAGAUAAAACUAAUAAAUAAUAAUAAUAAUGAAACAAAAGUAGUUAACAUCAUGAUAAAAUAAAAAAAAUUUUAAAAAAAAGGGUGGGGGACGAGAGGAGGUUUGGGGGAAAACAAUUUUAAAUGGGUUAAUUGAGUUUGAUGAUUUUAAAUGGUUAAAUGGGUAUUAUUAGAUAACUCAUUUAUACCCAUAUAUAAAAAUUUAAGAUACUCAUAUCUAUUUAUGAACGAAUGUGAAUAAAUUUAAUUAAAUAAAUUUGUUUUACAGUUUUAGUUUAAAUCAACCUUCUCCCUUCACUCAAGUUUAUCUUGUACUUGAACAUCUUAGCCUGAACUUUUCUGUCGGCCACAUCAUAUUUUAUUUGAUGGAUAAGAGUUUACUUGUACUUUCUUGGGGGAGCACAACUUUCGAGUAAAGAUAGUGAAUACGGAUUUGAUGUAUGGAUUUAUCAACAAUAUCUUUUUCUUCUUUUAAUAGUGACGUUGAUUGCCACCAACAUUAUCGCACUUCCGAAUGCGACAUUCUUGUCUUGUUUCCAUUGAAUUUUCCAGUCCUUCCUAAAUUAUUGUCCUUCUACAGAAUUCUGGGACCAGUCCUUCACGUGCAUGAAUUGAAGUGGACGCACUAAAAUCACUUAGAAGGGACGCACUAAAAUGAAAGCUAUUUGGAUUGUAAGUUAUUUGGGAUGGUAAGUUAUUUGGGAUAUUUUUAUUGUAAUAUUUUUUGUGACAUGAUGUAUGUGAGAUAAAAAGUAAUUGAGAAGAUAAAAAAGUGUAUUGAAAAUUGUAAUAAUAAUGUAAGUAAAUAAAAUUGAGGAAAUAAUGCUCAAUCCAAACAAAUCAGUUUGAAUUGUAAGUUCACAGAGUUUUGUUGAAAAAUAUACUAUAGCAAUAUGACAUAUAUAAAGAUAAUAGGAUGUAUAUAAUAAUAAAUAUGACAUAUAUAAGAUAAAAAGGUGAUUAAAAAUAUAUCAAGAAAAUAUUUUAAAGUUUUUCAGUGAAAACUUGCGAUCCAAUUAAGGCUAGUGUCAUCCGCUUAUGACCAGCUUAUCUUUGCAAUUUUCAUGUUUUCAAAUAACGUUGAGAUCCCAUUGUUAGGAACAUUUCCAAACAGGAGCUCCCAAUAAAUCACUGAAAGGGAGUACAAUAGGAAAUCAAAGGAUAAGUAGUAUUCAAAAGACUGAACUUCAAAAGGGAAAAUCUUUCACAAUGUCCCCUAUAUUUUGUCAAAUGAAUUUUUUGUUCUUCAUUUUGAAAAUGUUAGUUUUACGUUCUUUACAAAUUCAAGUUAACAAAAUUUUGUUCGAAUCUAAGUUCUUUUUUACCACCUUUUAGCUUGAAAUCACCAUGUGGCUCACAUGAAAUCAUUUUUUAUAUACAAAAAAGUCAAAUUUCACCUUUUUAGGAUAAAAAUGAACAUGAAUUAAAUCAGAUCCCACUUUUCAAAAGAAAAAUAAAUAUGAUUUAGAUCAGAUCCUACUCUUUGUGUCAAAAUAAUUAUGGAUCCAAUCAUUUGUUUAACUACAAAUGAGAUUUAACCUUUUUGUCCCAAAAAAAUGACCAUAUUUGGGUUAUGUGAUGAAUUCAGGGUAAAAAGUAAUCAAAAACUUAAGUUGAACUAAAUUUUACUAACUUGAUUAUGUAAGAAACGUAAAGUUAUUAUUUUAAAAGUGAAGGAUAAAAAAAUUUUCAUUUAGUGAAAUGUGAGGGACUUUUCAAAUGAUUUUCCCACUUCAAAAUUACUCGAAGGCUUUGCAGCCGAAAUUUACUUUUUUCUUUUUUGGUAGGUUAAAUCUAUCCCGAAGCCACAAAAGGUACGUUACCAUAACUACAAUAAAUCUGAAUUGAAAAUUUACUUGCAAGGACCCAAAUAAAUUAACUGGUUGUACAUAUGAUUGUACGUGGUUCACGUGAUCAAGAUCUAUGAAGUUUCACUAAAUGGAGCACAUAGGAAAAGAUUAGCCAUCACAAACAAACCGGCUGCAGUAUUAUAUAUCUGUACAUAUUUAAUUAUAACAAUCCACUUGCGAUGAUUAUUGAUUUCAUAAUCAUUAUCUUAGGGUACCAUUCUAUGAAAUAUUUCCGGUUAUUUCUAUUUGUAAUUGAAGAUAGUUCCCAUGGAACUCGUCAGUAAUAAUCCGUCAUCAACUGUAAGAAACCAAGAACACCUACAAAUUAAUUGCAAGUGCAAAGACUCAAAUUCAAUCUUAAAUUUUCCUUCCCCUUUCUUCAACCCUUUCAAUAUCUAGCUACACCAAAACAAAAAAAAAAAAUAAAAAAGAAGAAGAAAGAAACAAUGAACAACCAUGAAUUUAGUUUAGGUAUUUUUCCAACAUGCUUACAUGCUAUGGCCAAAUUUGAUAUUGAGUCAAUACAAAUCAUCCAAAAUCAGUCUUCCUCGGGUAAAAAGAAUAUAUGAUUACAAAAUUGCAUACAAAUGACUAAAUAAAUUAAGAAGGGGACAAAUUCAAGAAGCUAAUAAUCUAAAAAAAUCCAAACAUUCAUAGGUUGCACAUAUCAAUCUCACAAAUUUUUAUGAAAAAGAAAUUUUACAAAAGACGGCUUAAUUCAGUGGUGGCAAGGUUAAAAUUUUGCAAGAUUGGGCUCCUUUUUAUGUUUUGGUUUAUACUUUUUAGGAUUGUUAAAAAUUAAAUUUGAUGAAAUAAGGUUGAUGAUAUGAUGAAAUCUGAUGAAACGAAGUUGUUCGAAGGGCAGUAAAAUUGAAGAUCGAAUGGUCGACGAUGGCUGUAGUAAAGAUGAUGUUGGUGAUUUUGUGGGAUUCCUAGUGAGUGUUUUUGUAGUUUUUCUAUUUCUUGUGUGAGAUCUAUUUUUUUUUUUUUAUAUAGAUUUUGUUGUUAGAUUUGAGAUUUCUUAAAUCUAUCUUAUCAGAUCUCAUCUUAGCAUUUAGGCUUGAAUCAGUUCAUUAGCAUAUUUAGGAGAAAGUAAAUGGUAUCGGUGGAAGUAUGCGCCGAUAUCAUUUGAUGUUUUUUGAGUUCCACAAUGUAAUAUGCUUUUGAUUAUUCAGAUCUACAACAUCUAGCAUUUGUUCUUCAAAUCUAUAUCUGUAUAUCAUUGAUGUAAUUCCUCCCACUACUACUACAGAUUCAACAAAAUGAUGAUGUUUUUAUCAAAAAAAAAAAAAAAAAAAAAGACUAGAGAAUUAAGCCCGUCCAAUUGUGCGGGAGUGGGGUGCUUGUGUAUUCAUUAGGUAGCGAGUAAAUUGAGUAAAAGGUUAUGGACAAAAUUGUAGAAAACACAUUGUUAGUUAGGUCACAACACGGCAAAGUUUUUCAUCAAGUGCUCAGGAAAAAGUUGUUCACAGGUUGUGGACAAAUUUGAAGAAGACAAAUUAUUAGAUCAUAACAUGACAAAGUUUUUCAUGAAGUGCUCAAAAAAAAAAAAAAAGUAAUUCAUAAAGUAUGAGACUAUCAAUGGACAGGUAUGCUGAAAUGAAAGAUGCUUUAAAUUGAGUUGACAGCACUAAAGUUAAAAAAAAUAUAAAAGAAGGAAAAAAAGUUGUCACAGGAAAAAAAAUGUAUAGGCCACAGUUGCGUUCAUGUAAGUUUUCAUUUUUGCAAGUUUUCUAUUAGUAUACUUUUCAACAUUUUUAUUCCUUAAACAACUUAAAAUAUUGCCUCUUGAAUGUGUUUUCUCGUUUCAGAUUGAUAGUUUCAAACCCGUCCUGAUUCUUGAUUUUUCAGAAUCACGAGAUUCGUGAACUUUUGCACCAAGUUACCGAAAAUUCAUCUUUGAUACCUAUCUCCACCAGUGACAAUUUCUUCAAAUUCUUUUGAGGUUCAUGCUCUUGCAGAAACUGACAUCUUUUCAAACAUAGCACUGUUAAUGAUGAGUCAGUUGCACCAAGGAUUUUAGGGUCUGGGGUUUAUGCGGUUUGCUAAAUUCUACGAUGGAAAUCCUGAUUACGUUGACAUGUUUUUCUAUUACAGCUUUCUUGAGACACCUGUUUAGAAUCUUCUCAUCCAGUUUGGUCUCAAUCAUCAUCGAUAGAUGCGGCGCCUACCACUUCUGCAGUGCGCUGUUGGCACGUUUCAUGAAGCCCUUUUUGUAAUAUGAUUCAUAUUGAACAAAUGCCAGUCGCUGAAUUUUUUUCUUUCUUUCUUUUUUUUUUGUUUUGUUUGGUAACAAAAUGGACUAUAAAGUUAUAGGUACAAAGUGACAAAUUCCCUUAAUAUCUGCAUCUACUAAAUUUUUUAAAUUAGGAGGGACACUUUCAUAACAUACACAAAUCGUGUCUUGCUGAGCACAUAAUUUCGUCAAUCUAUCUUUAUACUGAUUAAUUUUUCAAUAAGUAUAACUUUCGACAGAACAGAAAUCAGGAACCUACAAUUAGAAAUAAUUGAAACAUACUCAUGAGUUGAGGUAUCAACAGAUUUAAGCAAAUCUAGAGCAAUUUUAGCAUUAACUUCUAAUUCAAUAUUUUGCAAGUUGAGAGAGGAAGCUAAGGAUACCCCAUCCCUUGUUCCCACAACUCAGCAACGAUAUUGGUAAUGGGUCCUAAUUUUUUGCUAAAGGCAGCUACCCAGUGUCCUAGGUGAUUCUAAUCAAGUCACCUAAUCCAGCUGGACCCGAGUUCCCCAUGGAUCGAGGACCCAUCGGUAUUGAUUUUGAAAUAAGAAGGGAAUCUGGUUAGCGAGCACUUCUGUUCUAAGGCGUACUUAGUUCUGAAUAGGUCGUGAAAAGGAGCAUUCGUGGCUGAAUUUUCUUUCCUCGAAGAAGCCGUACGCCUUGAAAUUCUAAUCUAGGGCUGGUUGGAUAAAAUACUCUAGCUUCGACAUAGGGAUGGCAACGGGGCGGGGUUGGGGCGGGGGACCCCUCCCCCAUCCCCCGCCCCGUUGCCUAUUAGUUCCCCCGUCCCCCGCCCCGUCCCCCGCCUCCCGCUCCCCCCGCCCCCGCCCCGCUUCCCCCGCGGGGGCACCUGCGGGGUUAAUAAAAUUUUAUUAUAUAAUUUUAUUAUAAUUAAAAUUUAAUAAAUAAUCAAGUACUAAAAUAUCAACACAUCACCAAAUUAUUAUUCAUUGUAAUUUUACAAUUGAAACUCAUAAAAACAAUCAAACAGAAGUUAUUUGAAUACAAUCCAAUAUGAUGAAAUAAAUAUAACUAAAAUAGUCAAAUUUUCACUUUUAGUACAAAUGCAAUCACUAAUUCAUCAUUGUGUUUGUGCUUUUUUUUGAGAAAAAAGUUUUAUUCUAUUAAGUGUAAUUAGAAAUUUAGUAUAAAUGUAUUAGUAAAUUUAGUAUAACUAAUUAAUAAAUUCUAUUAGUAGACAUGUAUAAUUAUUCAUAUAAUUGAUAAUAUCAAUUAUAUUACAUAAAUUAAUAUACAUUAUAUAAUACAUCUAACUAAUAAUAUCAUUAUCAUAAGUUUAUAACUAAUUAACUUACAUAUAAUAUAUAGUCAUUUAUAUAUUAUUAUUAUUUUGCGGGUGGCGGGGCGGGGGAUGGGGCGGGGGAGUAUACCCCCGCCCCCCGCCCCGUUUCUAAGCGGGGGGAAAAAAUUCCCCCCCGCCCCCGCCCCAACCCCCGUCCCGUGAGCCCCCCGUGGGCAUCCGCCCCAUUGCCAUCCCUACUUCGACAUGGUGUUUCGCAAUCAGGAAAGAAAGUAUGCCAGCUGCCGCCCAAAUCUCGGUUUAUCUCGUUUUUCCGUGCUGAUUUGCACUAGCCUCGUUGAUUGUUUUUGGAACCCUUCCCAAAAAAACCCUAGUUUGACUACGACCUCAUAGUUACCUGUCCGAUAUCCUCACCAGUUGAAAUGAAUCUUUGCAACACAAAUCCCGCUAUUAAAUGGAGGUCUUGGGGACAAAAAAUUUCAUGGUUCAAUUUAAUAAGUUCAACACAAAUUUAUUAAUAGACUAUUUUUCUAGAGUUAAGGAGAUAUUUGAUAACCCCAUUAAGUACGCAAAGUUAUUGCAUUAAGUACUUCUUUCCUGCUACAUUUGUUUGAUAAAAAAUUUGCUUAUAUUUAUGACACAUUUGAUUUAUAUACAAAAUUUUACACGAACGUUAUAUCACUUAAUUUGUUGAACUAGUAUAUGUAUUAAUCAUAUUCACUCAAAAGAAUCAUUGCGCUCACCAAUACACUUUCACACAGUAUACACACACUCUCUCUCGAUCACAUUUUCACACAUCCACACACGUUCUCUCUCGCUAGAAUAUAUAUAUAUAUAUAUAUAUAUAUAUAUAUAUACUAUAUAAUACAUCUAAAUACAAUCUCCCCUUCAAACAUGUAGAAUCUAUAUGCUUUUCUUCUUUCAAACAAACAUUUUACACAAAAAGCACAUGCUCCACGAGUCACACACAUACACAAAAACACACCUUUCAUAUUAGCAUAGAGCUUAUUAGUAUCAAAAAAAUAAUAUUUAAAAAUUAAUCUAACAUAAAACACACCUUUCAUAUUUAGGAUUAAACUACAAAAUACAUAUGGAAUAAAUAUUUCAAUUCAAUGCUUGCAUUAAAUUGACUAUCAAAUAGAUGUGACUUCAUGGAUAUAAGCAAAUUAAGAACUCAGGAAUUAGUUUUCAAUCUUUAUAUUUCAGAAAUCAAUUUUCAGUUUUAUCAAAUGCCGUCUAGGCCAUUGAAUUCUAUAAUAUUUUAUGGUUUCUUUUGACUGAUUCCCAGAAUAAUUCUUUUGAUUAAUUCUACUAAGUCUCUAUCGUGUUCACAAUUCCACCUCAUCUUCUUUUUUUGGGUACAAUCAAAACACAGGAUUCUAAAUUUUAUGAGAUUUUAUGUUGCACUCCUUCAUUUCCUUUUAAUGGUGAAAGAAGAAAUAUUGAACAAAUUGUUGAUCUCUUCCUCAUGGCCAAAAAUUAGGAGCAACACUCCAUUUCUUUUACUUCCCAAACUAGUCCAACUUUCCAAGCUGGAAUGUGCAAGAUACUAAACAAAUUAAGAAGAUUAGGAAAGAUACUACGAAUCACAGAUUCCACAAUGUAGAGUUGUGCAACGUAGGAACUUGACUAAAAAUCAAAGAGUUUGCUCCAAAUUAAAAAUUUUUGAAAGGAGAAAGCAAGAUCUAUAAUAAUGGAUGAUCAUAUAUGAUAUAUCAAAGUUACUGGAAGAGUGAAAUUAAGGAGAGGAUCAAUUACUAAAAUAUGGCCUACUUUAGAGCUAAAUUUAGAUUUUCAUUUGUUACCAAUAAUUUUUACUAUAACUUUAAGCUUUUUUUUUUGGAGCAAAAGAAAAGAAAAAUGUGUUGGUGAUUGUAGUGGUUAAGGUUUAGGCCAUUGAUCUAAGUUGUAACUCAAUCUAAUUAACCAAUAGGAGCAGUUUGUGCCCCUAGUAGAAACUAUUUCUAUUUCCACCUCUCUGUUCUGGAGCUUUCUUUAGAUUACAGAUAUCCCUAGGCUGGAUGGAGGAGCUGCAUCUGUUGUUAUCCUUAGGCUGGAUGGACUAGAUGGAGGAGCUGCCUCCGUUGUGUCAUCAUAGCCCAUCAAAACUCUAGUCCUAUUUAGCGAGUUUUUUGCUAAGUUUUUCAUUUGUAAGUUUUUUUAACAGUUUUAACUACAAUAACAUGAAAAAAAAACUGUUCAAGAACUUUUCAACAUACACAUUUUAAAAUACCUAAAAACACACACAAAAUUUUUUUCCUUCUUUCUUUUCUUCUUCUUCUUCCUCCUUCCCACAUCUCAACCCACCAUCACCAACACUGCUAGCUGGCACUUUGGCGGCGCCUUUGGCAACCUCCUCCCUUUUUUCCCCUCUUCUCUCCUCUUCCCCUUUUUUGCUUCCUCCUUCCUUCCUUUCCUCAUCUCCUCUACCCCUUUUCUUCUUCCUCCUCCCUCCUUAUCCCACUCGCCCCUUCCGGUCCUCCAUCUCCCAAAGGGAGGGAGUAGGAAGGAGGAAAGAAGGAGAAGAGAGGAGGAAAGGGAGGGAGGAGAAGGGGAGAAAGAGAGUAAGAAAAAAAAAUAUGUCUACCAGCAUCGUUGUCGAUUGCCGACAAAGGUACCAGCAAUGGUGGCUAGUAGUGGGAAGAAGGGGGAGUGAGGAGGAAGAGCAAUGGUAGGGUGGGAGAAAAACAAGAGGAGAGGAAAAAGAAAAGAUAAAAAAAAAAGGAAAAAAGUUUUACCAUCCAAACAAGUUUUUUUUUUUUUACAAAUUUUACGAUAACUUAUAGUAAAAUUUUGGACAAACACCCAAAAAAUUCAAUUGCCAAAUAGGACCUCUAUUUGAUACAACGUGAGAAGGAUUAAUGCUCUAUGGUCUCAAUCUCGAAUAUUAACUAAGUAUUCCAGUAGGACAAGUACGGUUGGUAUUAGGUGUGGUUGGCACGAUUAUUGUACUUUUUUGUAAUUUGAUAUACACUCAUAUAACUUUAUUAUUUAUCGUGAAAUAUAAUAAAAAUUAUGUUAGUAUACACCAAAUCAUAAAAUACAGCGAAAUUAUGUGAAUAUAAAUCAAAUCAUGAAAAGGGUAUAACAACUGUAUCAAUUGCACCUGUAGCUGUAGUUGAUCGUACCUGUCCCAUUCCUGUAUUUUAGAGUCUCUAAACUUUGCUGUAAAUAUUUCUUCUUAUUCUCAUAUUGUGAAACUAGGGGUGAACCCAAGCAAGGUGCGGGAGUGAGUACUUGUCGUGAAAUCUUGUAAAAAGUAAAAUUGUAGUUGUGUUGUUCUCAACUUUUUUUUAGAGAAAUUGGAAAUGUAUAAUAUGGUAACUUGUUGUAAUUUAUCAUUGUAUACAUAUUCUACAGCUUUAUCUUUAUUAAUAGAAUUUCUCAAUAAUCUCUCUUGUUUUUUCCUUUUCUUUGAGAGAUUACAAUCCAUAAUUGCUUGGUAAUAAAGACAUUAAAAUUUUACCAAAAAAUAAUUAAAUUGUACUACAAUAAAGCCAACACAAAUUAUAAUCUCUUCCUUGAUUUCUCUACCAGCUGAAUCUUCUUCAUCUUGAAAAAGAAAAACAAGUGGAGAAUGACACUAUUAGGAAAAUCUAAAAACUAAUAAGGCCAAAGAGCUAGAUAAUAAGUACUAUUCUUACCAAUGCUUUUGCAAAUCAAACACUAACAUCUUCAUUUUUAGCAUCAUCAUCAUUAAAUUCCAAGGCUUUCCCUUAUUCUACUUCUACAGCUUUGUCCAAAUAAACUUGUCAAAGCAUUUGAAAUAUCAAAAUCAUUUGAAAUUGAAAAACUAUUUCCAUAUAAUAAACAAUAAAUUCAAGUAUAUCAAAAGUGCACUUAGUUCUUCAAUUUUAGACUUUUAUUUCUAGCCACCCUCUUUGGCAAUUUGAAUAAUUGGAUCAUCAAGUUAUCAUGUCAUAAAAAAGCAAAUAAAAAAAUGUGCUUUUCAAGCUUAAAACACAAUAAUAAGUACCUGGGGGUGUUCAUACCAUCCAUAAACACUUAUGAAGAGGAUUUGCCUCCAUGAAUGAUUUUCUGAAACCCUUCCUAUGUAUACCAUUGCUUUUCGCGCCACGUUUUUGGUCUGUUUUCUAUUUAAGAGUAAUAUAAGAGUAAAAUUUAGUAAUUUUUAUUCAAAAUAAAGUUCAAAUAACAUAAUUAACUACCAACUUAUACAUAUAAAUACACUAUAAUUUAUGCCCUAUCAACAACUCCAGUAGGCCGAAGGGAAAGAUCAUUUUGAAAACACUCAGAUUCUGCAUAUCCUACUUGUUCACAAUAUGGACAAAUAGAAUGCCAAUUUUCGUACUCAACAUGUUGCCAAAAGCCAUAAUCAUCGUCUCCCAUCCAUAUUUGUUUUAUUGGCAUGUUAGAAACAUCCAACUCAAACACACUCGGGCGGCUGAAGGCCGUUUCAAUUCUGAUGUUGCUGAAGAAUUUGGGCCAACUUGUGUUACUAGUCACUUGAAAAAAGAAACAACAAAAAAAGCUAGACACGUAAGGAAAGAAGCUCGCAAAAAAGAAUUUGUAAAGUUGGUUUCUUUUUGAAAUGUUAUUAUUAACGCAAUUUGUGUAACUCUACUUUUCUCCUUCCCUCUUUUUCUUUAAGAACCUGUAGAGAAACAAAGCCAUGCAUGAAACCAAUUCAAAUUAUAAAGUUUCGUUUUGGCCACUUUGUCCUUAUAAUUUUUAAUGUGAAACUAUGAACUGAAUUUUACACCAAUCUUAAGUUUUGACCAUCAUUGUUUUCAUUAUUAAUAAAAAAAAAAGCAUUAUUCAUAACUUUCCAGGGUAAUUGUGCUGCUCAGUCAAUUCACAUUAAAGUCCGCAAGUGAUGGAAGUUUAGUUUUACAUAUAAUAUAAACAUUGAGUGGAAGCAAACAGAACCAUAAAUAUUCUCAACAGUAGAGAUGUGCCGAAACAUAAAAGGUUCUUGUAUGAAUACAUUGAUUUUGGAGAACAUAUAUCUCUAAUGAUAUUGACUUUGAUCUGGUACUUUUUGCAUGUUCUUUUCUUCUUUAAUACCUUUUUUUCCUGAAGAAUAAGAGGAAACUAGAACUAAUGAUAUCGUUCGUGCUAAAUUAUAAUCAAGAACAAACACGAAUUGACAAUCAAACUCUGGGGAUUGAUAACCCAUGUUAUAUUUAUUCACGUUAUCUCUGGCUUAGACAGCCAUGAUUACAUUUAUUUCAUCUCUCAUAUGACAACGAGAGGAACUUAUUUAGUCACAUAAGACUUUAUCUUUAUGUCGCAAUUGCUUGGGGACUUUAGCAUGGACUUGCGAUCGCAAGCCAGCGUUUCAGGGUUAACAUAAGGCCUGAUUGCCUGACUGUAAUUCUCGUCAUAGAAUGCGUUCCAAAGCAUGACGCCUCCAUAGUUGGGAUAGCCCCGGACAUAGGGAAGAAUUUCGCGAAUAAGCACCUGAGGUGGAAUGUAACCGCCACUAGGAGCGGCUUCAGGGGAUGCAGGUAAUCCCAGGAAUAGUUUAUUAACUCCUGGGUAUGAAGCCCAAUGAGAACUCCAACUGUAGAAGAGGUUGUUGGCAUUGCCCAUACUAUACUGACAAGGCGGAUUGUUGUAAAAUUGCACCCACACAUAAUCAAAGAGGCCAGUUCUGAUAGCAGCGUCGAGAUAAUAGUCAGGAUAGAAACAUUGUGGUGCUGCAGAUAAGUGCACCCUCCUCUCUGAUGUGCUAUAUUCUGAGAGCGCCUUGGCGAGAUCAUCCAAGAAAUCCCUCUUUCCACCUUGGAUAUGAAAGUCUAUACCGUCUAAGACAGCAUCGCCUAAUGGACGAUUUUCUGAUUCACCGCCAAGGAAAUUAUUAUAGAGAUAGGACGCGACUUCCUUGGCAUCAUCGGCGGAAGAGAGGUUUGGAGCUCCACCGAGAGAAAGAAGCACUUGGGUGCCUCGGCUCUGGCAAGCUUUUAUCUCAGAACUAAGGGAGGAGCAAUCGCUUGGCUCACAAUGCCCAGCUAAGUUCAAUUCUGGUGUCUGGCCACCGCCAAAAUUUAUCAGAAAGGCAAGAUUCACGUAGUCGUAG